GAUGAACGCUGGCGGUAUGCCUAACACAUGCAAGUCGUACGAGAGUUUUUAACUCUAGUGGCGGACGGGUGAGUAACACGUGAGAAUUUGCCUUUAGGAGGGGGACAACAAUUGGAAACGAAUGCUAAUACCCCAUAUGCUUUCGAGUGAAAUGGAUUUUAUCCGCCUAGAGAGAAGCUCACGGCUGAUUAGCUUGUUGAUAAGGUAAGAGCUUACCAAGGCGACGAUCAGUAUCUGGUUUGAGAGGACGAUCAGACACACUGGAACUGAGACACGGUCCAGACUCCUACGGGAGGCAGCAGUGGGGAAUUUUCCGCAAUGGGCGAAAGCCUGACGGAGCAAUACCGCGUGAGGGAAGAAUGCCUAUGGGUUGUAAACCUCUUUUUUUCCAGGGAGGAAUAAAUGACGUGUACCUGAAGAAUAAGCAAUCGGCUAACUCCGUG
rnacentral:rRNA from 1 species